rnacentral:rRNA from 1 species
GUUUGUAUUAUCUCAUGGGACUAAAGGCACCAGAUCCAAUCUGAACUUGGAAGCUAAGCAAAGGCAGGUCUGUUUAAUACUGAGAUGGGAGACUGCCAGUGAAUACCAGGUGCUGUAGCCU